rnacentral:rRNA from 1 species
GCGAACAGAGAAGGAGCUUGCUCCUUCGACGUUAGCGGCGGACGGGUGAGUAACACGUGGGCAACCUACCUUAUAGUUUGGGAUAACUCCGGGAAACCGGGGCUAAUACCGAAUAAUCUGUUUCACCUCAUGGUGAAACACUGAAAGACGGUUUCGGCUGUCGCUAUAGGAUGGGCCCGCGGCGCAUUAGCUAGUUGGUGAGGUAACGGCUCACCAAGGCGACGAUGCGUAGCCGACCUGAGAGGGUGAUCGGCCACACUGGGACUGAGACACGGCCCAGACUCCUACGGGAGGCAGCAGUAGGGAAUCUUCCACAAUGGGCGAAAGCCUGAUGGAGCAACGCCGCGUGAGUGAAGAAGGAUUUCGGUUCGUAAAACUCUGUUGUAAGGGAAGAACAAGUACAGUAGUAACUGGCUGUACCUUGACGGUACCUUAUUAGAAAGCCACGGCUAACUACGUGCCAGCAGCCGCGGUAAUACGUAGGUGGCAAGCGUUGUCCGGAAUUAUUGGGCGUAAAGCGCGCGCAGGUGGUUUCUUAAGUCUGAUGUGAAAGCCCACGGCUCAACCGUGGAGGGUCAUUGGAAACUGGGAGACUUGAGUGCAGAAGAGGAUAGUGGAAUUCCAAGUGUAGCGGUGAAAUGCGUAGAGAUUUGGAGGAACACCAGUGGCGAAGGCGACUAUCUGGUCUGUAACUGACACUGAGGCGCGAAAGCGUGGGGAGCAAACAGGA